rnacentral:rRNA from 1 species
AUGUGACGAGUUUGAUCAUGGCUCAGGAUGAACGCUAGCGGCAGGCCUAAUACAUGCAAGUCGAACGGACUUAUAUGUUUUUCGGAAUAUAUAUUAGUGGCGCACGGGUGCGUAACGCGUGGGAACCUGCCUUUAGGUUCGGAAUAACUCAGAGAAAUUUGAGCUAAUACCGGAUAAUGUCUUCGGACCAAAGAUUUAUCGCCUUUAGAUGGGCCCGCGUUGGAUUAGCUAGUUGGUGGGGUAAAGGCCUACCAAGGCGACGAUCCAUAGCUGGUCUGAGAGGAUGAUCAGCCACACUGGGACUGAGACACGGCCCAGACUCCUACGGGAGGCAGCAGUGGGGAAUAUUGGACAAUGGGCGAAAGCCUGAUCCAGCAAUGCCGCGUGAGUGAUGAAGGCCUUAGGGUUGUAAAGCUCUUUUACCCGGGAUGAUAAUGACAGUACCGGGAGAAUAAGCUCCGGCUAACUCCGUG